rnacentral:rRNA from 1 species
GUAGGGUGCGAGCGUUGUCCGGAAUUAUUGGGCGUAAAGAGCUCGUAGGCGGUUUGUCGCGUCGGCUGUGAAAACUGGAGGCUUAACCUUCAGCCUGCAGUCGAUACGGGCAGACUUGAGUUCGGUAGGGGAGACUGGAAUUCCUGGUGUAGCGGUGAAAUGCGCAGAUAUCAGGAGGAACACCGGUGGCGAAGGCGGGUCUCUGGGCCGAUACUGACGCUGAGGAGCGAAAGCGUGGGGAGCGAACAGGAUUAGAUACCCUGGUAGUCCACGCUGUAAACGUUGGGCGCUAGGUGUGGGCGACAUUCCACGUUGUCCGUGCCGUAGCUAACGCAUUAAGCGCCC